AACCGUGCUAGAAACCGACGAAGAUGCCAAGGGAUGGCCCAAGCCACCCUUGAUGCAGCACAGUGUCGACACUAACCAUUUACCACUGUACCAUAUGCAUAUGUACAUAUUGUUUUUAUGCAGCUUCCUUAUUUUACUAUCGAUACUCCCAGAAAAUCUUCCUCUGGGUCUGAACAUCCUUCAACUACAAAAACAACCUCCGACAUCUCAAACAUUUUACUUCAGACUAAUAUUGACUAGAAGAUCGGUGUAGUACGGCUUGGGCCGCUUGUUGAGCAGAUAACAAGUUAUUAAUUGAUACAUUAUUACAAGUUUUGAAUAAUAAACCUCAAAAUCUUUCGUCACUAA